AUUGAACGCUGGCGGCAGGCCUAACACAUGCAAGUCGAGCGAGCGGCGGACGGGUGAGUAAUGUCUGGGAAACUGCCUGAUGGAGGGGGAUCACUACUGGAAACGGUAGCUAAUACCGCAUACCAUCAGAUGUGCCCAGAGGGGAUUAGCUAGUAGGUGGGGUAAUGGCUCACCUAGGCGACGAUCCCUAGCUGGUCUGAGAGGAUGACCAGCAAAACUGGAACUGAGACACGGUCCAGAAUCCUACGGGAGGCAGCAGUGGGGAAUAUUGCACAAGGGGCGCAAGCCUGAUACAGCCAUGCGGCGUGUGUGAAGAAGGCCUUCGGGUUGUAAAGCACUGUCAGCGGGGAGGCGUUACCCGAAGAAGAAGCACCGGCUAACUCCGUGCCAGCAGCCGCGGUAAUAC
rnacentral:rRNA from 1 species